rnacentral:tRNA from 1 species
GGCCCUUCGGUCCAGUUUGGAGUGGACGCUACCCUGUCACGGUAGAGAUCACGGGUUCAAAUCCCGUAAGGGUCG